rnacentral:rRNA from 1 species
UACGUAGGUGGCAAGCGUUGUCCGGAUUUAUUGGGUUUAAAGGGUGCGUAGGCGGCCCUGUAAGUCAGUGGUGAAAUAUCCCGGCUUAACCGGGAGGGUGGCAUUGAUACUGCAGGGCUUGAGUACAGAUGAGGUAGGCGGAAUUGACGGUGUAGCGGUGAAAUGCAUAGAUAUCGGCAAGAACACCGAUAGCGAAGGCAGCUUGCUAAGCUGUAACUGACGCUGAGGCACGAAAGUGUGGGGAUCAAACAGG